ensembl:snoRNA
ACGCGUUGCCUUUGAGCCCCUGCUGCGCCUGCGCGUGGCGCCGGGGGUCAGGCUGCAGCGCCAGAGGACGUGCUCGCGCAUAACUGGGGCCGCCUGCCUCUCGCUGGCGGCCCUUUUAACCGCGAGCUACAUGG